CUAUGUUGUUAAACGGGAUCAGUUGAUUGACUUUCUCCCUGCAGUGACAGUUGAUGUGGUGCGGGACCUCCAGGAGGCAGCGCCAGAGGAAGACAAGCGUAAGUGGCAAGAGACAGGUGCUGAGUAUGAUGACAAGGAGAAGCUGUGGUUUGGCCUGAAAAGAGGACCUAGGAGACUGGUGUUACCUGCAGGGAAGUUCAUGCGGUUAAUGGUUGAGGAAGCACACGCCCCGACACAUGAAAAUUAUGUGUCAAUGCUGAACAAGCUGCGCUUUUGGUGGCACCCUGAUCUUCUGCGUAAGAUCCCUCUGUUGCAGACGUCCACGUCAGUGACCCCUCCCUUCCGUCUCACGUGUAUUUGAAGGUACUCCAAAUGAAGUGGUCUGAACCCCGCUGGACUGGUCCGUUUGAGGUGUCGGCUCGGACAUCUCACGCUGUGCGUCUCUUUGGAAAGGGGGACAAGUGGUACCAUGUGUCACAAACACGCCCGGCGCAGACCUCAUUUGCGGAGUAAACAAAGACAUUGUGCCUCUUGUGCCUGGUGACUGUCUGCUGUAUUGUGUGUGCUGGAUUUUUUGGGCGCUGGUAUUUGCUGGUGUCGUUUUUUACCUGGUCGACCUGGGUUUUUUUGGGGGGGGGGUUGGUGUUGUUGUUGUUGUAGUUGUAUUGUUCGUUCUAUAUCUUUCGUUUUUGUGUAGGUGUGUCUGUAUGUUGUGUUUUGUGAUUAAAUUAGUCCUUUAACAAAGGGGGAAAUAUGUACAUCCUGGAUGUAUGGUCAAAGAAGGUUAUAAUCAUGACUCUGGUGAUCUCCCUGAUUAUAGUUACAGGAAUCUAUUUUGGAAUGCCUUCAAUACAAGGAGAAAGAGUGACAAAGAGGGCCGUGAAGCCAACAGGGGCUCUACCAAUUUGAUUUGUGUAAGGUGGUAAAUUGUGCACGCUGGGGCGACCCAGCGGAACAUGAUAUUUACUUGUGCGCUUUGAGUACAGGACAUGGGGGAGCUGGCCGGUAUCCGGUGAACCAUAGGUUCAAAGUGAACCAGCAGGUGGAUUUGUGUUACAGUUGGAAGCAGGUGAUUAUCCACUCGAAACCGGGAUACUGGGAGCCGACGAAGAAUAGAAAUUGGCAGUGGAAGGACAGGAUCAAAUUGGAAAAAGGUAGUAUGCACUCAGUAACCCCGAGGGACCGACAUCCUGUAUUGUUGACUUUGUAUGAUAUAACUAGACCCCCGUGGAGAGAGUGGGGCAAACCAGUAGCGACCUUUACGGUCUUGACCUUGGGUAUAGCUGUCUCAGGGGCCGAUCACUAGGACAGAUUAUUAUUAAUUGGAUACGACCGACAAAAAGCUCAUCUAGUCCGAUAAUGAGAACAUUUGCUAAAGUACCAGCAUCAGUACCAGCAUCAAAAAAUGAGGAUCCAGUGGUUUUUCGAACCUCUAAAGUGACGGGAUAUGACCUGAAUAAUGACUUAGUCAAAGGAGCGGUAAACAGUCAUUUGUUACAGAAGGCGAAGGGACGAGCUGCAGGAAUUAAUCUAGGUAAUUAUUGUUUUAAGGAAAUUCCUAUGGAAGGUAGGGACGCAGUCCAAAUCUAUCAAAAAGACUGUCUUGUUUGUGCUACGAUGAAUAACCUCAAUUGGAUUGUAAACCCUGUGGUCCAGGAAAAUUUUACUGCUGCUACUAAGUUCAAAUUGACCUGUGCCUACCAGCUGAUGACUAAUGACAACUUGGAGGGUGAGUGCCAGCACUGGGAUCAGGUUUAUCCUCUGACUAAGGUGAAAGGUGCUCCCCUCUAUGAUGUCAAUAUGGUCCCUUCCCUACCCUGCAUCACACAAAAUAAGAGUAAGGUAACUUUGGGCCCAAAUAACAAACUUUCCCGAUCAAUUGGCCACCUAGAUCCACAGUUUUGUAAUUUCACCUUUUUAUUGAUUAUUAUGAUGCGGCCCGAUUAAGUAAGAUGAGGUCUGAUUUGUGGUGGAUGUGUGGGGAUGGUCUGUUGUGGGACUUCCUGCCCGGGGAAUGGACAGGCACUUGUGCAUUGGUCUCUAUGAUAGCUCCCACAGUGAUUAAGCCCCUCUCUGAGCAGGAAAUCACUCAAAUGGCGGAUUUCACCUGGGAGCGUGACUGGUGGGGUAGCUUGAACCGUUUCCGCCGUAUGGUCAGUGGCUUCAACGUGGGUGGAAAUGCUUGGGAAGAAGGUGAGGACCCCACCUACCUGGAUGCCAUUGGAAUUCCCAGAGUUGUCCCGGAUGAGUAUAAAGCUCGCUGUCAAAUUUCCGCAGGUCUUGAGAGUAUUUUUAUAUGGGUAACUCCGAAUAAAAAUGUUGAUUUCAUAAAUUACCAUCAUUACCAAAUUCAAAGAUUGGUGAAUUUCACCUCCCAACUAGCGGAAGGCAUCCAUGAGCAAUUAUUAGCUACCUCUCUCAUGGCAUUCCAAAAUAGGCUGGUCCUUGAUAGUAUGUUAGUGGAAGAAGGGAGUGCCUGCACUCGAAUUAAGGGUUAUUGUUGUACAAUUAUCCCCAAUAAUACGGCGCUGAACGGAAAGAUCACCAGAGCCAUGAAAGGUUCGGUGAUCUUUAUAAGAAACAGAUGUCAAGGAAGAAAGGAACUGCGGGAAGCUACUAUAAACAUUGAAUGCAGGAAUGUGGGCCGGAGUCUGCUGGCGACAUCUGGAGGCGAUGUCUGGAGCCAGAUCAGAUGGUCAUCAUUCUGAAGAACAACGAUGACGUCAGAUUUUGGACCAAUCAGACGGCAGCGAAUCCAUACUGGCCCGUUUGAAACAUUGUAUAAGUCUGGGGUAGAAUCAGAUAGUUUUUGUUCGACUACUUUAUCUGCUAAGGAUAAGAUAGUUACGGACCCAGAGCUCUGCAAAAUGUAUAGACUCCUCUGUCAGGAAUAAAUUGGUUGGUUUUUA